rnacentral:rRNA from 1 species
AUUGAACGCUGGCGGCAGGCCUAACACAUGCAAGUCGAACGAGUGGCGGACGGGUGAGUAAUGUCUGGGAAACUGCCUGAUGGAGGGGGAUAACUACUGGAAACGGUAGCUAAUACCGCAUAUUAUUCGAGCGGCCGAUAUCUGAUUAGCUAGUUGGUGGGGUAAAGGCCUACCAAGGCGACGAUCAGUAGCGGGUCUGAGAGGAUGAUCCGCCAAACUGGGACGGAGACACGGCCCAGACUCCUACGGGAGGCAGCAGUGGGGAAUUUUGGACAAUGGGCGCAAGCCUGAUCCAGCCAUGCCGCGUGAAUGAAGAAGGCCUUCGGGUUGUAAAGUUCUUUCGGUGACGAGGCGUUAAUCACAGAAGAAGCACCGGCUAACUCCGUGCCAGCAGCCGCGGUAAUUC